CUAAUCAAAAUUUUUGAGUUGCCGGUGACGUUUUUCGGUGGUGGUUGAUUCCAACGAAGCUCGUAGACUCGUUUUGCUGCCCCCUAAAAGGUAAACACACCUUCUUUUUUCUUUUUUUAUUAUUUUAGUUUUUAUUAUCGUUUUUCUCUUCAUCUUUUUUUUUCUUUAUAGUUCGUAGAUAUAAUUUUAUUUGUUGGAAUUGUAUGUUGUAGAUGGCCUUGAAGGCCCUUGGACGUUGUGGUGUCGCUAUUCUAAUUAUUUUCAUGUUCAUAAUAUAAAAAUGAGCUAGCAAUAGUUGUAUGUGUCUUUUUUUACUUUAUUCUUUGAUUACUUUGGAUAAAGUUUCAAUCUUUGCUUAAAAGAAGUAUUUAUGCUUUUUUUAAACUCAUUGUUGUUGGAUACAUUUGUUCUUAGUAUGUAAAGUUAUUUUGUUUAUGUUUAGAAGAAUAGUUAAUGUUGAAUAUUUUACCUUUUCACCUUAUUCUUUGAUUAUUUGAAUAAAGUUUAGAUAUUUACUAGAAAAAACGAUAUUCAUGUCUUGUUUAAACUUAUUGUUGGUAUAUAUAUUUGUUUUUAGCAUGUAAAGUUAUUUCCUUUAUGUUGAAAAGAAUAGAUAAUAUUGAUUGUUUCUCUUUUCUUACUUUAUUCUUUGAUUAUUUUGAAUAAAGUUUAGAUCUUUACUUGAAAAACAAUACUCAUGUCUUGUUUAAACUUAUUGUUGGUAGAUAUGUUUUUUUUUAGCAUGUAAAGUUGUUUAUUUUAUGUUGGAAGAAUAGUUAUUACUAUUUGUUGCGCCUUAAUAAAAAUAGUAAUUAGUUAAGUUAAGAAUUUGUCAUUUGCUUACUAAUUAUUUUAAUGGAUUUUAAAACUCUCAUAUAAGAUAUGAAGUGCUAGCUUUAUUUUUCAUCUAAGAUGUUUAUUCUUCUUUGUUCGCAUGUUGUCUUUUCAAAAUGCUAAGAAAGUUCAAAUUUUUGCCGCUAAAUAAAAUUAUUUGGAUAUUUUUGACUCAUGCAUAGUAUGACUGUGAAACUUUUGCUUUGCAUUUUUUAUUUGUUGACUCUCAUUCUUGUGCAAGUGUGCUUAUUCUUGUCAUUCAAAAAUUGGUUCUUGAUAGUUUCUUUUACUUUGAAAUAUGUCACUUUUAUGCCUUGAACAUAUAUUAAUUUCUUUGUCUUUUCUUUGCAUGCAAAAAAAGAUAUCUCGAGUCCAAAUGGACUCCUCUCCUCCUGUAUUUCGUAAUGGGUAAAUGAGGCUCACCCCUUCGAGUCAAGUUCGAAGUUUAAACCCAAGGUCCAUUACAUGGCGUACGGGUGCUAGAAGAUAGACAAAGAAGGAAAAUGGGUCAAAACCCAUUGAUGAGGUCACUAAAAGACUUGAAAAGUCUCAAUUUUUAUUAUUGUCUUCUUUUUAUUUAUUCAUUUAGUCAUUUAUUUAUUCAUUCAUUUCAACCUCGAACACAAAGUUGUAUUUAAUACAGGUGGAGCAAGACUCGAGCCAAAGGCUCAAAAAAUAGUUUAGGACAGGUGAAAUGGGUUGGAAGCCCAACUAGACUAGGACAGGUCUCGUUGAUUUGGGCCUAAUGGUCUAAAUCCUUUUUACUUUCUCCUCCCUUCCCUUUUUAUGUGUUUAUUUAUUUAUUAUUUUUGUUUAGACUUAGUUAAAAUCCCUACUAAGUUGCCUAAAUCUAUUUUACACAAGUCUUUUUUUGAAAAAAUCAAAUCUCUAUUUCAGCAAAUUAAUCUUUUUGAAGUUAAUCAAAAGACGAUUUUCAAACAGUCCGGAUAACCACAAGUUAGCGGACGUUUUAGGUGCCUAACACCUUCCUAAAACGUUAAUAGGAACCGCUUAUCUAGAAUCUCUAACUUAAAACGAUUUCCCUAUUUUGAAUCGUUUAAAAUGUUUUAUAAAGGUUUCUUAAUUCCUUUUCAAAAAUUAAGUGGCGACUCUCUUCAAAAAGUCAAAAUUUCUCCGCAAAACACUCAUUGUGAUUGAUUAUGAGAAUUACAUCCUCAUAUCAUACUCAUUCAUGAAACAAAUGGUACUACCAUGGCAAUACCUGAAAAAUAUUAGCAACACCUUUUUAUCACAGAAAAUGUGACAUCUUAUAAAACCCUCCCCGAGGGAUGUGCCAGGGAGGAGAUAUAUAUGGAUAUAUAGAGAGAGAGAGAGAUUGUAUAUGGGUUGACGAACCCCUUAUAGAUCCCACAGCAGGAGGCUUGCCUCCAUGGGUGUAUACGGGGAUUGUGCGACGAUCCCAGAGGUUGUGUGACGACCUCGUACAUUAUCAUCACUAUCAUCAUAUACAUUGCACUUGCCUUAUUGUGUUUACGUUGUUCUUUUGUUGUCAUGUUGACUUGUCAUCUAUCUAUUUGUUCUAUAUCUUGACUUGUUAAUGCCUAAUUCUUCUAUCUUCCUUUACUUGUACUUGAUGAUCUUGAUUAUACAUGUUCCUCUUUUGUUCAACUUUUAUGUGAUAUUGUGUAUAUUUGUAUCCCUAUCUAGUUUUUUGUAUUAUGUGUGGAUAUAAUAGAACUUUUAGUACAAGAGAUAUGGGCUACCAUUGUGGGAUAUUUUCUGAUUAUAGGUGACAUGCCCUUAGUGUAUAUUUUUUAUACUUCAUUUACUACUUUGCUUGGUCAGUCUAUGAUACCUGCUGAGUACAAUUGGACCGUAUUCACACCUACUGUGCCUUUUCGAUGUAGGUCCUAUCUCGAGUGCACCUCGGCUUACUUGACUCGGGUGAUUGUUGAAGCUUCCAAGGUAGUGGUUGGAAAUUCAUGAGUUCAAAGUUCACCUCUAUCUCUCUAUAGUAGUUAUGUCUUUAUUAGUAUUUAGAGACAGAUGUUGAUCUUAUGUGGAUAUUUCUAAUGUACUUGACUCAUGGUUUGUAUUAGUAGUUCUUACACUAUUGACACUUGGUUUUGGGAAUAUAUGGUAUUUAGAUAUGUUCUUUCCACAUUGUUAUAAUUACUUGUAUGGUUCAGUUUCAUUCUAGAAGCCUUGCCUUGGGAUAUUUCUAUCUUUUCCUCUUUUUGUAUCAAUUUGGGUGAUAGGUUUACCUGUCAAGGUAGGCCGCGACAAAUGCCAUCAUGGCCCUCGUUUUUGAGUUGUGACAAAAAGACAAGUGAUAGGAUCAUGAAUGUAAAGGAUA
rnacentral:lncRNA from 1 species